GUACUUACCGGGUAGGGGGGAUACCAUGAUCACGAAGACCGUUUUCCCAGGGUGAGGUUUAUCUGUUGUAUGCCGGAUGUGAUGACCCCUGUGAUUUCCCCAAACGUGGGAAACCGGGCCACAUAAUUUAUGGUAGUGGGGGACUGCGUUCGUGCUCUCCACUG
ensembl:snRNA U1 U1 spliceosomal RNA